AUUGAACGCUGGCGGAAUGCUUUACACAUGCAAGUCGAACGGCAGCACGGGGGCAACCCUGGUGGCGAGUGGCGAACGGGUGAGUAAUACAUCGGAACGUGCCCAGUCGGGGGGGAUAACGUAGCGAAAGUUACGCUAAUACCGCAUACGAUCUACGGAUGAAAGCGGGGGACCGUAAGGCCUCGCUCGAUUGGAGCGGCCGAUGUCAGAUUAGGUAGUUGGUGAGGUAAAGGCUCACCAAGCCGACGAUCUGUAGCUGGUCUGAGAGGACGACCAGCCACACUGGGACUGAGACACGGCCCAGACUCCUACGGGAGGCAGCAGUGGGGAAUUUUGGACAAUGGGCGCAAGCCUGAUCCAGCCAUUCCGCGUGCAGGACGAAGGCCUUCGGGUUGCAAACUGCUUUUGUACGGAACGAAAAGGCUCUGGUUAAUACCUGGGGCUCAUGACGGUACCGUAAGAAUAAGCACCGGCUAACUACGUGCCAGCCGCCGCAGUAA
rnacentral:rRNA from 1 species